UCUGUUCACAUUGUGACUUAGGUGAAACUUAAGUUUUAGGUUUUUAAAUUGAGUGUCAUUUGAUCAAUUGGAAAGCUAAGAUAGAGCACUACAAACAUCUAAGAGGAACCAAAGCCCAGUUCAGCCUCGAAGACAAUCAAAAUUAGCCCUGAAGCCAGAACAUAUUUUUAGUAUAGACCCGUGAGGCCAUGUUUGGUUUUUAAUUCAUAUCUGGAGCUCUAGAUGUCCAA
rnacentral:misc_RNA from 1 species